rnacentral:lncRNA from 1 species
AAGUUUUAAACGUAGCUGAAUACAACCUGUAUGUUUCUUUUAACCAUAGUGCUUUUUAUUUGAAUUAGUUGCUGGUAUUUAAAAUUUGAGAUAUUUCUCAUAAAUAUCCAGCUCAUGGCAUUCUCUUAAGAUUUUGGAACAAAAAUGGUCACAUGUCAACAACACUUUUGGCUAGAACUGAGGGACAAACGCUUUCCUGCUGGUUACAGGUUCCCUGCCUGACCCCCACCGGUAUUUAUAAUUUCUGCUUUAGAUAUUAAUUUUGGAACAUUUGGUAGGCAGCCCUUGUGUGCUUAAGUUAUAACUGCGUAACUUGUCCUUUCGUAGCAUGCCGUAUCACGUGUUGUAAAAUGCACUGUUUGUCUCUUCUGUGUUUUUGGAUCAUAACCCCCCCACCUCACUUGGCACUGACAUACAUCAAGUGCUUUCUGCUGAUCUUCUCGUUCUGACGUUUCUUCUUCCGCAGGUCGGUGAAACUCCCCCUGGAGGAUGGGUCGCCCUUUAAUGAAGCGGAUGCGCUGUUCCCGCAGUCCCUGCCCAAGGACCCCAUCUACGGGCCGGUGCUGCCCCUGCAGGCCAUCGCUGGGCUCGUGGGCGACGAGGCGGAGACCUUCCGGAGUAGGACCAUGGAGACGGCGAGGCGAGACAGACUCCAAAGUUGUGAGUGCGGAUGACUGGGAAGACGACUGCAGCAGUAGGGGCCCAGAUGUGAUCUCAGCUUUGGACACGGUGAAGAUGAACCGCCGGGAAGGCGUCCAGGUGGAGAGGUGAGCUUUUCCUAUCCAAUGUCUUCAAGAGUUUUACCUAACUUAUCUUCCAGCGAGUUUAGUUUAGACUCAUAAAUUAAGAAUCUCAAUUAUGAAGAGUAAGGUGUAGUAAGUAAAUAAUAAAUAAAUAGUACUAUGUAUUGAAUGGCUACUCUAUGCCCAGAAUGUCUCAUAAAAUGCCUGUGAUUUUCUCCAUAGCCUUGCCUAGUUAGAUAUUACUAUUUCCAAGUUGCAAAUGAAGAAAAUGGGGCUUAAAGAAAUUAAACAAUUUAUCUCAAAGCCAUUCAACUGGUAAAUAGAGCUUGGAUUUGGUCUAAUUUAUGAAUCCUUCCAACUCAUCCAUUCUGCCCCUCUGGUCUUUCCACACAGACUCCAAGUCAGCCUAUCAACUCUCUAAUUUCACUUUAUGCUGAGCAGCAUCACAGUGAGGUCCCAGAUAAUUUACAAGUUGAUUCAAAUUGCAAUCCUUGGACUAAUGCCAGAAUGAUGAUUACAAUUAACUGCAGAUAAUUCUAUAUUGGCUGUAUUGUAAGGUCUGAGAAUAUCACUCAGAUUCAGAAUUGUAUGUUGUCUCUGGAACAUUCUAGACCACGAUUCCCAUGCAAAGAACCCUUCACAGAAUUUAUGAAGAAACAUCCCUAUGUCCUGUUUUGGGGUUUUUCUAGAUUUGCCUCAAUAAAGCUGGAAGGCCUUGAUGCAGUGUUUAAUUUUCAAUGCCUAUUGUCUUUCAUGAAAAAGAGCAAGCACAAAUGUAGCCCGGCACACCUGUGAAGCUGUCACCAUUCUGACAUAUAAUGACCAUACGAUUUGCCUUCCAACUUGAACUAUUUCUACUUGAGGAAGGAAAUUUAUACAGUGGAAAAAUAUGUUGCCCUUUGCUUUGUUUCCUUUCCUUUCAGGGGAGAGUUAUUCAAGUGUAUCUUGAAUACAAUAAGAAAUAACACACGCUAUUAUCAGGAUGUUCUCGGAAACAUUAUUUUGAGCUUUUAUUCUCAUAGCUGAAUUCCACUAUAAUUCUCACAUGGCAGGAGUAAACUAUUAAUAGGUUUUCAAGUUUUUUUUUCCAGUAGACCCCAGAGAAGUCUCUUUUGCCAUAUGAGUGAAGGGCAGAUCAGAUCUUGACAUGAUACAUCGAUUUAGUUUCCAAAACAGUAACUUUACUAAAUAAAUCAUUUCAGCGCUGGGCUGUUAUUUAUACAUGCAAAUCUGUUUUUCAUUUGUUGGACCCUGACAGGAGGAAAGCUAAUAAUCUCAUCAAGAGCUGAAUAUUUUCCAUUUUGGAAACAACACAUAGUUCACAAUCACAUGACCUGAACUCUGCCAUGGGUGGGUGAAUUGAACACCUCCCUAAUACAUCUUGCAGACACACAACACUGAGAUAGGAGAACUCUGGGGAAUUUGCAAGUAUGAGUCUCAGCUCAGGCCAGUGAGUCCCUGGCCUUCCUCCUAGCAACAUGUUAUCUGUUUCCAAUGGUUGUAGAUUAAGAAAAAGAAAGUUGAGAAAAGUAAGGAAAAAAUGAAUAGUAUGAAAUAUUGGGCAAUUAACUAGUAGUUUUAGCUUCAAAUAAAUGAAAGAUCCUGAAUUCAUAAAUUGAGUUAUUCAUAAUAAGAAACUUGAUUAUAUCUGGAAGAGAUUUUAAUUUUA